UACGUAGGGGGGCAAGCGUUGUCCGGAUUUAUUGGGCGUAAAGAGCGUGUAGGCGGCCAGACAGGUCUGCUGUGAAAACUCGAGGCUCAACCUCGAGACGCCGGUGGAAACCGUUUGGCUAGAGUCCGGAAGAGGAGGGUGGAAUUCCUGGUGUAGCGGUGAAAUGCGUAGAUAUCAGGAGGAACACCGGUGGCGAAGGCGGCCCUCUGGACGGUGACUGACGCUGAGACGCGAAAGCGUGGGGAGCAAACAGG
rnacentral:rRNA from 1 species